rnacentral:rRNA from 1 species
GACGAACCGUGCGAACGUUGUUCGGAAUCACUGGGCUUAAAGGGCGCGUAGGCGGGUGUGCAAGUCUGCGGUGAAAGCCUCCAGCUUAACUGGAGAAGUGCCGUGGAUACUGCAUAUCUUGAGGAGGGUAGGGGCAUCUGGAACAUUGGGUGGAGCGGUGAAAUGCGUUGAUAUCCAAUGGAACUCCGGUGGCGAAGGCGAGGUGCUGGACCCUUUCUGACGCUGAGGCGCGAAAGCCAGGGGAGCAAAGCGGG